GGAUAUUUUAAUGUUUUUAAUAUUUUUCCAUUGAUCGUCUAUGCUCUGUAGAGGUCAACAACCAGGAGAUGUUUUGGCUUUGCUUCUGCUUUAGUUAAAGUAGGUUUUUGAAUUGCUUUGUGACUUUUUCUUUAGUGGUGUUGGCAUGAUUUUGUUUGCAUCCUUUAUUCUUAUUUUUUUUUUGAAAUAAUUAUUACAGUUUUUU
rnacentral:misc_RNA from 1 species